UACGGAGGGGGCUAGCGUUGUUCGGAAUUACUGGGCGUAAAGCGUGCGCAGGCGGUUCGUUAAGUUCGAUGUGAAAGCCCCGGGCUCAACCUGGGAACUGCAUUGGAAACUGGCGAGCUUGAGUAUGGCAGAGGGGGGUGGAAUUCCGCGUGUAGCAGUGAAAUGCGUAGAGAUGCGGAGGAACACCGAUGGCGAAGGCAGCCCCCUGGGCCAAUACUGACGCUCAGGCACGAAAGCGUGGGGAGCAAACAGG
rnacentral:rRNA from 1 species